rnacentral:ncRNA from 1 species
CCGCAAUGGUUCGCACAACGUGCGAUUAAUAGGGAAUGGGGUGAGAAUCCCCAACUGUCCCGCAGCUGUGAACCGUCCUUUUGGGGUGAAAGCAUAACGCCACUGACAUUUUUUCGGGAAGGCGCUUUACUCCAGACGGUAAGUCAGAAGACCUGCCUUGCAUUG